rnacentral:rRNA from 1 species
GGUACCCACAGAAGAAGUCCCGGCUAACUCCGUGCCAGCAGCCGCGGUAAUACGGAGGGGGCUAGCUGUUGUUCGGAAUUACUGGGCGUAAAGGGUGCGUAGGCGGUCCCGUAAGUUAGGUGUGAAAUCCUUGGGCUUAACCCAAGAACUGCAUUUAAAACUGCAGGACUCGAACGUGAGAGAGGGCAAUGGAAUUUUUGGUGUAGGGGUGAAAUCCGUAGAUAUCAAGAGGAACGUCAGGGGCGAAAGCGAUUGCCUGGAUCACAGUUGACGCUGAGGCACGAAAGCGUGGGGAGCAAACAGGAUUAGAUACCCUGGUAGUCCACGCUGUAAACGAUGAGUG